GGGCGCGUAGUUCAACUGGCGGAACAUCGGCUUUUGGUGCCGAAGGUUGCAGGUUCGAGCCCUGCCGCGCCUUCCA
rnacentral:tRNA from 1 species